rnacentral:rRNA from 1 species
UACGGAAGCAGCAGUGGGGAAUAUUGCACAAUGGGCGCAAGCCUGAUGCAGCCAUGCCGCGUGUAUGAAGAAGGCCUUCGGGUUGUAAAGUACUUUCAGUCGUGAGGAAGGUGUUAAGGUUAAUAACCUUAGCAAUUGACGUUAGCGACAGAAGAAGCACCGGCUAACUCCGUGCCAGCAGCCGCGGUAAUACGGAGGGUGCGAGCGUUAAUCGGAAUUACUGGGCGUAAAGGGCACGCAGGCGGUUAAUUAAGUUGGAUGUGAAAUCCCCGGGCUUAACCUGGGAAUGGCAUUCAAGACUGGUUAGCUAGAGUCUUGUAGAGGGGGUAGAAUUCCAUGUGUAGCGGUGAAAUGCGUAGAGAUGUGGAGGAAUACCGGUGGCGAAGGCGGCCCCUGGACAAAGUACUGACGCUCAUGUGCGAAAGCGUGGGGAGCAAACAGGGAUUAGAUACC